GGUGUGACUGCGUACCUUUUGUAUAAUGGGUCAGCGACUUAUAUUCUGUAGCAAGGUUAACCGUAUAGGGGAGCCGCAGGGAAACCGAGUCUUAACUGGGCGUUAAGUUGCAGGGUAUAGACCCGAAACCCGGUGAUCUAGCCAUGGGCAGGUUGAAGGUUGGGUAACACUAACUGGAGGACCGAACCGACUAAUGUUGAAAAAUUAGCGGAUGACCUGUGGCUGGGGGUGAAAGGCCAAUCAAACCGGGAGAUAGCUGGUUCUCCCCGAAAGCUAUUUAGGUAGCGCCUCGUGAACUCAUCUUCGGGGGUAGAGCACUGUUUCGGCUAGGGGGCCAUCCCGGCUUACCAACCCGAUGCAAACUACGAAUACCGAAGAAUGUUAUCACGGGAGACACACGGCGGGUGCUAACGUCCGUCGUGAAGAGGGAAACAACCCAGACCGCCAGCUAAGGUCCCAAAGUCAUGGUUAAGUGGGAAACGAUGUGGGAAGGCACAGACAGCCAGGAUGUUGGCUUAGAAGCAGCCAUCAUUUAAAGAAAGCGUAAUAGCUCACUGGUCGAGUCGGCCUGCGCGGAAGAUGUAACGGGGCUAAACCAUGCACCGAAGCUGCGGCAGCGACACUAUGUGUUGUUGGGUAGGGGAGCGUUCUGUAAGCCGUUGAAGGUGUGCUGUGAGGCAUGCUGGAGGUAUCAGAAGUGCGAAUGCUGACAUAAGUAACGAUAAAGCGGGUGAAAAGCCCGCUCGCCGGAAGAC
rnacentral:rRNA from 1 species